GCGGCCCCAAGUCAGGCGAGAC
rnacentral:rRNA from 1 species